rnacentral:rRNA from 1 species
GAUGAACGCUAGCUACAGGCUUAACACAUGCAAGUCGAGGGGAAACGACAUCGAAAGCUUGUUUUUGAUGGGCGUCGACCGGCGCACGGGUGAGUAACGCGUAUCCAACCUGCCCAUCACUUGGGGAUAACCUUGCGAAAGUAAGACUAAUACCCAAUGAUAUCUCUAGAAGACAUCUGAAAGAGAUUAAAGAUUUAUCGGUGAUGGAUGGGGAUGCGUCUGAUUAGCUUGUUGGCGGGGUAACGGCCCACCAAGGCAACGAUCAGUAGGGGUUCUGAGAGGAAGGUCCCCCACAUUGGAACUGAGACACGGUCCAAACUCCUACGGGAGGCAGCAGUGAGGAAUAUUGGUCAAUGGGCGAGAGCCUGAACCAGCCAAGUAGCGUGCAGGAAGACGGCCCUAUGGGUUGUAAACUGCUUUUAUAAGGGAAUAAAGUGAGAGUCGUGACUCUUUUUGUAUGUACCUUAUGAAUAAGGACCGGCUAAUUCCGUG